AUGAGGAAUAAAGGUGCUGGACCCAACCCAGCGAUUCACUUGUAUGCUUCUCUUUCUGGUUCUGGCUAAGAGAGCAAACAAACACAGAAUGCAUUUAGCUGUGGGAUGAUAGAGGCUUUCCCCUGCAAGCGGACUGAAUCGCCAUCCACCCCUCGCUGACUGAUGAAGACACAGUAUGACCCGGGAGACGCACAGAUGUGAGAUGCCAGCAGUGCUUGGUCCGCCCUCAGCCCAACACUGUCCGCGGUGCACGAUGACCCUUGCAGAAAGUAAAGAACCACGAGGUCGUACAGUGAGCUAACAAGGCUGCCACAUGUGGCUGUGCAUCUACCUGGCUGCAACGUGAAAGGCACCCUGCUCCCAUCUGGAGUUGUGCAGUACACAACUCACACAACCACACCCAGCAGUCCCGCCACUUCCAUCAUAGCGUUUGUAACACUGCAUUGCCUGAUCACGGGAAAGUUAAGACCUACACUUUGCAUGUCGGGUCAUGACAGCAUCUGCCCAGGGCUCUCACUCGGCCUGACCUGACCUGACCCCUGGGCCAACGUGGAAGCAAAUGGAAAUUUUAGGACCAGCGGCCACACACAGGGAAACCAAGGAGACGUGCAGCAGUGAGUGGGAAUUAAAGUGCUGAAGCCAGAAAUGGCCACCACUUCAAAGUGAUCGUCCUGCAGUUUUCUCUGUGGGGACAGAGUUGGUUUCUCAAAUUAAGCUAAUAAAGAAGCAGAAAAUCAAGCACUUGCCUGAAUGCCACACUCACCGCGCUGCCUUGGGGAGGCGCGGCAGGGAUGAGCCGAGCUGGCUUUGAUGGAACUCAAGUUACCUGCUCAGGCACUAGAGGCCUCCGGCCCUGGUGUUCCUCCGCGCGCCGAGGAACGCUUCGACUCAGAGCAAAGGCACCCACCAGCCAAGUUCACGGCCUGCGGCUGCUCUCCCCAGAGCCCAGGUCACCUUCACAGCGUCCGGGCACUGAUUCACUCCUGCUGACCGCCUCCCCGGCCUGAUUCCUGAAGGAUGGCAUAGUUAGAAAGUUUCUUUUAUGUUGCUUCUAUUAAAUGUGAGCUUUUUGGUGACCUCGGAUGGUUUUGAGGCAGUAAAAUCUAA